GCAUCGAUAGCUUAGUGGCAGAGUGGUGGGGCGUUUACCCAUGCCCGGGCCCGGGUUCGAACCCUGGUCGAUGAA